GACGAACGCUGGCGGCGUGCCUAAUACAUGCAAGUCGAGCGAAUGACGAGAAGCUUGCUUCUCUGAUUUAGCGGCGGACGGGUGAGUAACACGUGGGCAACCUGCCCUACAGAUUGGGAUAACUCAGGGAAACCUGGGCUAAUACCGGAUAAUCCUUCGAAUCACAUGUUUUGAAGUUGAAAGGCGCUUCGGCGUCACUGUAGGAUGGGCCCGCGGUGCAUUAGCUAGUUGGUGGGGUAACGGCCUACCAAGGCAACGAUGCAUAGCCGACCUGAGAGGGUGAUCGGCCACAUGGGGACUGAGACACGGCCCAAACUCCUACGGGAGUCAGCAGUAGGGAAUCUUCCACAAUGGACGAAAGUCUGAUGGAGCAACGCCGCGUGAGUGAUGAAGGUUUUCGGAUCGUAAAACUCUGUUGUAAGGGAAGAACAAGUACGUUAGGAAAUGAACGUACCUUGACGGUACCUUAUUAGAAAGCCACGGCUAACUACGUGCCAGCCGCCGCCGUAA
rnacentral:rRNA from 1 species